rnacentral:lncRNA from 1 species
GGUGUAGAAGCCUUUGACUGCCAGACUUGAUAAGUAUGGGAGAGUGAUCAGAUACUGAAGGGUUCAUGAACUCAGCCUCAAGGUGCCCAUACUGUUGAAUCCAUUGAAAGUUACCCAAAGCCCAGUCAAUUUUACUAUAUACUCUAGUAUCAGUAUCCUGCUUAUUGGACCAAGUAUAAUACCACCCUUUAGCUCGAAGGGGAGUAAGUUGAAUGGGAUCUAUAGUCUCCUUGAAUCCUCUGGUUUCAGCAUCAGUGACAGG